AUCUGGGCCUUCUUGUACCCCUCAACGACCCCUUCGACUACGGAGAGGUUGCGAUAUCCCCAUCGGCAUUGAUGAAAUCCUAGAGCCCAGUAAGGCAUGGGAGCUGGGCGGCCGAUCAUAGAAGUGUAUUGAUCCACAACUGCUAGAGGCGACGGCCCUUUAAAAAAGUAGAAAUCAAAUAAGCCUCCAAUCACCUUAUAUGUGAGAGAUUUUCCUCUAUAGAUGAUAUCCAUCCCAUUGCUGUUAAGCAGCAGAACUCCAUGGGCAGAAACCUCUCCCCCUAAAUUCCUCAAGUCCAUAUAAACCGGGUGUGACCCAUACAGAUCAGUAUUAAGAUUGAUAGCAGAUAUAUCCGUCGUGUAGAGUGUGUAUGGAUCAUUAGGCCGCAACCGGAUGCCACCAGGUUGUGUGUUCUCGCCAAGUCCAUAAAGGGCCGCACUCUCUGGCAAUCGAGUAGAGAUCUCAAGGUAUUGGUCUUUGAACACCAUACUCCCAUAGGAACCGUCAGUUGCCGGGCUUGAAUCAAAGAGGACCUGUCCAUUUGAUUUCCUUCUUAUAGCAAAUCCAAAUGGAUCUGAUGUAUAGCUGAAAACCAAUUCAUCUCCUGAGUACUCAGAAACUGUGAGAGGUGAGGUUGCAGAUUUCACAUUAAAACUCCCCAAUGCUGGGGGUUGUUCCCUUGGAAGCAAAUUGUAGGGGACCUCCCAUCUCUCCUUCUCUGCAUCAGUUAUUUGAACUCUUAAACGAUCUUGGGUUUCAUGCUUGACAAAGAGCCUGAGGUGAGGGAUGUCGCUGCCGUAAGUGGUGGUUGUCUGCUUGACUUGCAGAUAGCCGAUGAGCCCCCCAUUAGGGUUCUCUUCAAGGGAGAGGAGACGGUAGCCAUAGCCGACCUUUGGAGAGAUAGAAGCUGAACAGUGGUGAAGGGAAAGCAGAGUGAUGAAGAGACGGAGGACAGAUGGGGGCACCAUCGUCCCCUCUGUGUUGAUACUUUCAAGGUGGGGGAGAACCUCUAUAACUUUAGGGUUUUG
rnacentral:misc_RNA from 1 species